GAUGAACGCUGGCGGCGUGCCUAAUACAUGCAAGUCGAGCGAACAGACGAGGAGCUUGCUCCUCUGACGUUAGCGGCGGACGGGUGAGUAACACGUGGAUAACCUACCUAUAAGACUGGGAUAACUUCGGGAAACCGGAGCUAAUACCGGAUAAUAUAUUGAACCGCAUGGUUCAAUAGUGAAAGACGGUUUUGCUGUCACUUAUCGAUGGAUCCGCGCCGCAUUAGCUAGUUGGUAAGGUAACGGCUUACCAAGGCGACGAUGCGUAGCCGACCUGAGAGGGUGAUCGGCCACACUGGAACUGAGACACGGUCCAGACUCCUACGGGAGGCAGCAGUAGGGAAUCUUCCGCAAUGGGCGAAAGCCUGACGGAGCAACGCCGCGUGAGUGAUGAAGGUCUUCGGAUCGUAAAACUCUGUUAUUAGGGAAGAACAAAUGUGUAAGUAACUAUGCACGUCUUGACGGUACCUAAUCAGAAAGCCACGGCUAACUACGUG
rnacentral:rRNA from 1 species